rfam:Parastrongyloides trichosuri strain KNP genome assembly, scaffold: PTRK_scaffold0000001
CCAACGGCUCUCUUUAGAGCCAACAAUUAUUUCACGAUUUAUGUAA